GUGUCAGCAGCCGCGGUAAUACGUAGGUGGCAAGCGUUGUCCGGAAUUAUUGGGCGUAAAGCGCGCGCAGGCGGUUCUUUAAGUUGGGUGUUAAAGGCAGCGGCUCAACCGCUGUUCGCACCCAAAACUGGGGAACUUGAGUGCAGGAGAGGAUAGUGGAAUUCCCGGUGUAGCGGUGGAAUGCGUAGAGAUCGGGAGGAACACCAGUGGCGAAGGCGACUGUCUGGCCUGCAACUGACGCUGAGGCGCGAAAGCGUGGGGAGCAAACAGGAUUAGAUACCCUGGUAGUCC
rnacentral:rRNA from 1 species